GUAANGUAUAGGAAUCUACCUAGUAGUACGGAAUAAUUGUUGGAAACGGCAACUAAUACCGUAUACGCCCUACGGGGGAAAAAUUUAUUGCUAUUAGAUGAGCCUAUAUUAGAUUAGUUAGUUGGUGAGGUAAAGGCUUACCAAGACAAUGAUCUAUAGCUGAUCUGAGAGGAUGAUCAGCCACACUGGAACUGAGAUACGGUCCAGCCUCCUACGGGAGGCAGCAGUGGGGAAUAUUGGACAAUGGGCGAAAGCCUGAUCCAGCCAUGCCGCAUGGGUGAAGAAGGCCUUCGGGUUGUAAAGCUCUUUUAGUGAGGAAGAUAAUGACGGUACUCACAGAAGAAGUCCUGGCUAACUCCGUGCCAGCAGCCGCGGUAAUACGGAGAGGGCUAGCGUUAUUCGGAAUCAUUGGGCGUAAAGGGCGCGUAGGCGGGUUAGUAAGUUAAAAGUGAAAUCCCAAGGCUCAACCUUGGAACUGCUUUUAAAACUGCUAGUCUAGAGAUUGAAAGAGGAUAGAGGAAUUCCUAGUGUAGAGGUGAAAUUCGUAAAUAUUANGAGGAACACCAGUGGCGAANGCGUCUAUCUGGUUCAAAUCUGACGCUGAGGCGCGAAGGNGUGGGGAGCAAACAGGAUUANAUACC
rnacentral:rRNA from 1 species